rnacentral:rRNA from 1 species
CGAACGGAAGGGCCCCUUCGGGGGUGCUCGAGUGGCGAACGGGUGAGUAACACGUGGGUGAUCUGCCCUGCACUUUGGGAUAAGCCUGGGAAACUGGGUCUAAUACCGAAUACACCCUGCUGGUCGCAUGGCCUGGUGGGGGAAAGCUUUUGCGGUGUGGGAUGGGCCCGCGGCCUAUCAGCUUGUUGGUGGGGUGAUGGCCUACCAAGGCGACGACGGGUAGCCGGCCUGAGAGGGUGUCCGGCCACACUGGGACUGAGAUACGGCCCAGACUCCUACGGGAGGCAGCAGUGGGGAAUAUUGCACAAUGGGCGCAAGCCUGAUGCAGCGACGCCGCGUGGGGGAUGACGGCCUUCGGGUUGUAAACCCCUUUCAGUAUCGACGAAGCCGUGAGGUGACGGUAGGUACAGAAGAAGCACCGGCCAACUACGUGCCAGCAGCCGCGGUAAUACGUAGGGUGCGAGCGUUGUCCGGAAUUACUGGGCGUAAAGAGCUCGUAGGUGGUUUGUCGCGUUGUCCGUGAAAACUCACAGCUUAACUGUGGGCGUGCGGGCGAUACGGGCAGACUGGAGUACUGCAGGGGAGACUGGAAUUCCUGGUGUAGCGGUGGAAUGCGCAGAUAUCAGGAGGAACACCGGUGGCGAAGGCGGGUCUCUGGGCAGUAACUGACGCUGAGGAGCGAAAGCGUGGGGAGCGAACAGGAUUAGAUACCCUGGUAGUCCACGCCGUAAACGGUGGGUACUAGGUGUGGGUUUCCUUCCUUGGGAUCCGUGCCGUAGCUAACGCAUUAAGUACCCCGCCUGGGGAGUACGGCCGCAAGGCUAAAACUCAAAGGAAUUGACGGGGGCCCGCACAAGCGGCGGAGCAUGUGGAUUAAUUCGAUGCAACGCGAAGAACCUUACCUGGGUUUGACAUGCACAGGACGC